rnacentral:lncRNA from 1 species
AGGGAAGGAGGGGGAAAAGAGUUAGGAAUAAUCAGUCAGGUGGGCAAGAACUCGGGCCCCGGCAGCCUCGGGCUAACAAAGAUAAAUGGUCAAAAUGCUCCCAAAAGACCAGGAAGGAUAAGAGGGGAAAACUAGAGGAAGCGGUUAGACUCACGAAGGCAGCAGGGUGGCCAGAGUCUCCUACACACCGCCUGAAGGAAUGGAACCAGCCUCAACCAGCUCAAACCGGCCUAAGCGCUAGGGGUAGGGAGGGGAGUUAAAGAAGGCGGAAGCGGAAACCUGAGAACCGGAAAGCAUUCAAGUAGGUCAUUUCAAGGAGUAUGACUGACAUUUAAUGGGUUAAAAUAAGCCCGUAAUGGUACCAUAAAACAGGGGUGCAAUCUUGGGUACCCAAGAGUGGCACUCUCUAUCAUCUACUUUACUUCCUGUAAAAGUUUACGGCACCCAACUUGCCUAAGCUGUCCUGCCAGAAAAGUUUCCGGAAAAGAUGACGUAGUGGAUGACCUGGCGCAAUAUGGCUGGCCAGGCUGUUGCUGGGGAAAUUUUUUGUAUGUAAUACGCAGUACGUUGCCGCAAUACGGCAGUGCGUUGCGGUAAAACGCGGUGAGGUAAUGGCUGCUGAGCUGGCAGCACGUUCCUGCUGUCCUUAACGUAAGGUCACGUUGGAAAACGGAAUGGUGUAAUCACGCUAGAAGCUGGCGCUUCUGGGAAAGAGGGCAAUGAGUCGGUGGUUUUUUAGAGGCCUGACCGCUAUCCUGUAAAACGCUUUUGUAGCAUAUUUCACCAAUUUUUUUCUGAUGCCGCUAUAUUGACAGUGUGUACCUUUCUUUCAGAAUCUAUAGAGAAGAACAGCGAUGUCCGAUGGGAUCUUGGAAGGUUGCCGGGAGUGUACAGAUCGGCAAUUGCAUCUUAGAUACGGACAUACGAAAUCUUUCAGGAGGAAGACAUUGGGAACUUGUUCUCAUUUAGGUAGGUAUUUUCUGCCCAUAUGCAAAUCACCACGAUUAGGUUUAGGGAGGAAAUUAUAUUGCUUAGCUAGUUCUUAG